rnacentral:rRNA from 1 species
AUCCGGCUCAGGACGAACGCUGGCGGCGUGCCUAAUACAUGCAAGUCGAACGCUUCUUUUUCCACCGGAGCUUGCUCCACCGGAAAAAGAGGAGUGGCGAACGGGUGAGUAACACGUGGGUAACCUGCCCAUCAGAAGGGGAUAACACUUGGAAACAGGUGCUAAUACCGUAUAACAAUCGAAACCGCAUGGUUUUGAUUUGAAAGGCGCUUUCGGGUGUCGCUGAUGGAUGGACCCGCGGUGCAUUAGCUAGUUGGUGAGGUAACGGCUCACCAAGGCCACGAUGCAUAGCCGACCUGAGAGGGUGAUCGGCCACAUUGGGACUGAGACACGGCCCAAACUCCUACGGGAGGCAGCAGUAGGGAAUCUUCGGCAAUGGACGAAAGUCUGACCGAGCAACGCCGCGUGAGUGAAGAAGGUUUUCGGAUCGUAAAACUCUGUUGUUAGAGAAGAACAAGGAUGAGAGUAACUGUUCAUCCCUUGACGGUAUCUAACCAGAAAGCCACGGCUAACU